rnacentral:rRNA from 1 species
GGCGGCAUGCUUAACAUGCAAGUCGAACGGUAGAGUAGCAAUACUCGAGAGUGGCGAACGGGUGAGUAUAUAUCGGAACGUGCCCAGUCGUGGGGGAUAACGUAGAGAAAUUUACGCUAAUACCGCAUACGAUCUACGGAUGAAAGCGGGGGAUUCGCAAGAACCUCGCGCGAUUGGAGCGGCUGAUAUCAGAUUAGGUUGUUGGUGAGGUAAAAGCUCACCAAGCCGACGAUCUGUAGCUGGUUUGAGAGAACGACCAGCCACACUGGGACUGAGACACGGCCCAGACUCCUACGGGAGGCAGCAGUGGGGAAUUUUGGACAAUGGGCGAAAGCCUGAUCCAGCAAUGCCGCGUGCAGGAAGAAGGCCUUCGGGUUGUAAACUGCUUUUGUACGGAACGAAACGGUUCGCUUUAAUACAGUGGGCUAAUGACGGUACCGUAAGAAUAAGCACCGGCUAACUACGUGCCAGCAGCCGCGGUAAUACGUAGGGUGCGAGCGUUAAUCGGAAUUACUGGGCGUAAAGCGUGCGCAGGCGGUUAUAUAAGACAGUUGUGAAAUCCCCGGGCUCAACCUGGGAAUUGCAUUUGUGACUGUAUAGCUAGAGUACGGUAGAGGGGGAUGGAAUUCCGCGUGUAGCAGUGAAAUGCGUAGAUAU